GGCGAGCAGGCAGGCGGGGGGCGCUGGGCUUCUGAGCUGCGGGAGCGGCCCUCCUCCGACCCCUCCCGCGGGCUCUAGGAGUGCGCCUGGUGUUUACACACUGUCCUUCCGACACAGGAUCAAGUUUCAGGCCGCGCUGGAGGCGCCGGGGCCGGCCACAGGCCGAGGACAGGGGAAGAGUUGGAGCGGGAUCUAAGGCAGCGCUGCGCCGACGAAAAGGCCCAGCGCUCGUGGGCACAGCAAGCGCAGCACUCUCCCCGCGGCGGGGUGGAGAGAAGUGCACCAGGCAGGGUGGCAGGAGCUGGUGGCGCUGCAGUGCACUACCCACAGGGAGAAGCACCUCUGAGUUGCAGGAGCUAGGUCCUGCGCUCACCAGGGUUGGAGAACUCACUCUGGCAGGGCUCAAGAGCUAUACUCCAGAACCCGGGCAUGACGACGGCAGCGAGUUUCCCCAGGUGGCCGACUGCAUUACGGAGCUCCGGAGACAAACCGAGGAAAGGCACAGCCCAAAGGGCGGGAAGAGACAGGAAAACUUCCGAGAGAGGCCGUUGGACAAAGUCGGGGGAAAGCCUCUCAGGGUGACCGGGUGGAGACUCGGAAACCCUCUCGGCGCGAAGGUGCCGCGCGAGUUCCAGCGAGCAGCCGGCCCAGCCAAGUGGCNNNNNNNNNNNGGAAUCGCAGGACGACAGCGUGGGGGAGGGGGACCGAGACAGCAAGUAAACCCCAACUAGAGCUUUCUGCACACACCACCCCGACCCACUCCGGUGGACCGGGACUCGGGUCUGUGAGGCGUCGGCUCUGGGCUUUCAUCCUGGUGUGUGUGGGGGGCAGGGAGUUCACCGGCGCGGAGGAUGGGGAGGGCAGUCUGAGAUGUCUUUGGUCUCAUUUGAUGACCGCCGGUCCCAUGGGCUCCCACCCCUGCUCUGUGGAGCCAAGGGUGUUGGAUCAGUGUUUCUUGGCCGGCAUGAGUAGGCAAGGGGGCGAGCGAAAGCAAAUUUGCGAUCGCUUCCCCAACUGCCACCCACCCCUUGGCCCCCCUUGCACCCAAGAAAGGGGAGGGCACCUAGCCUGUGCUCCACCCCCCACGGGUCGCUCCCCUCUGCCUCGGAAGCUCUGACUUCGAGCGAGGGUUUUCCCCUUUCCUCAGGGCUCGAAGGGUUUCUAACUUCCUCUAAACCUCCCUCCACGCUCCGAAAAGCCCCGAGGAGAGGAGCUGAGAGGAAGCACGCCGUUUGUGUGCGAAAUGAGGACCAUGUGUGAGGAUGGCGGCAUCAGAGUACAGCCGCGGGGGAAGGGGGUUGUGAAGGCCCCCGCGCGGCCUGGGGCUCUGGGUCGCAGCAGCCAGCACUUCGGCUCAGCGCUGGGGACUCGGAGCUGCAGCGAAAGGGAGUGGAGAGGCUGCUGGGUUGGCCUCGUGGCUGACGGCGAGGAGGGGGUGCAGGAGCUGCCG
rnacentral:lncRNA from 1 species